rnacentral:rRNA from 1 species
CGGCGGACGGGUGAGUAAUGCCUAGGAAUCUGCCUGGUAGUGGGGGACAACGUUUCGAAAGGAACGCUAAUACCGCAUACGUCCUACGGGAGAAAGCAGGGGACCUUCGGGCCUUGCGCUAUCAGAUGAGCCUAGGUCGGAUUAGCUAGUUGGUGAGGUAAUGGCUCACCAAGGCGACGAUCCGUAACUGGUCUGAGAGGAUGAUCAGUCACACUGGAACUGAGACACGGUCCAGACUCCUACGGGAGGCAGCAGUGGGGAAUAUUGGACAAUGGGCGAAAGCCUGAUCCAGCCAUGCCGCGUGUGUGAAGAAGGUCUUCGGAUUGUAAAGCACUUUAAGUUGGGAGGAAGGGUUGUAGAUUAAUACUCUGCAAUUUUGACGUUACCGACAGAAUAAGCACCGGCUAACUCUGUGCCAGCAGCCGCGGUAAUACAGAGGGUGCAAGCGUUAAUCGGAAUUACUGGGCGUAAAGCGCGCGUAGGUGGUUUGUUAAGUUGGAUGUGAAAUCCCCGGGCUCAACCUGGGAACUGCAUCCAAAACUGGCAAGCUAGAGUAUGGUAGAGGGUGGUGGAAUUUCCUGUGUAGCGGUGAAAUGCGUAGAUAUAGGAAGGAACACCAGUGGCGAAGGCGACCACCUGGACUGAUACUGACACUGAGGUGCGAAAGCGUGGGGAGCAAACAGGAUUAG